rnacentral:rRNA from 1 species
UACGAGGGGGCUAGCGUUGCUCGGAAUGACUGGGCGUAAAGGGCGCGUAGGCGGUUUGGACAGUCAGAUGUGAAAUUCCUGGGCUCAACCUGGGGGCUGCAUUUGAUACGUUCGGACUAGAGUGGGGAAGAGGGUCGUGGAAUUCCCAGUGUAGAGGUGAAAUUCGUAGAUAUUCGGAAGAACACCAGUGGCGAAGGCGACUGACUGGACAAGCAUUGACGCUGAGGCACGAAAGCGUGGGGAGCAAACAGG